AGCCCAAGCGCCGCUCCUUCUUCACGCUCAAGAAGAACUGAGCGCCGCACGUUUCGCAUUAGGCGCCGCCCGCCGGCCGCCGCGCGCCCCGCCCCCCCCGGGCCGCGCCGCACAGCUCGGACGGCGUACAUUUCUCACGACGCUUGCCGCAGUAAGCUUUGCUAAUGACGAAAUUGUGUCCCAGCGGCCUUCACUCGAACACAUUGUUAUAUUAUUUUUGUUGCGUACAAAUGUAACGUUAUUUAAGACUGUUCCACGUUUGUGUGUCUGAUCCCCGCCCCUCUGUAUUUAUUGCGCGUGCGCCGCCACGCCCCCCGCCCUCCGCCCCGCCCCCUACGUGUAGUUGUGACAUGGAAAAUAUUCUUUUCAUUAUUGAAUUAAAUUUAAAUUAAAUUUAAAAAAAUAUAAAGUACAUAUUUAAAAAUUUUAAAAGCGAUGCUAUUUAUGAGUAAAACGAGUUUUAACGUUUAAAUUCAGAUUGAUAUUAUAUACGUAUAAUUGUUUAUAAAUAUAUAUCUAUACAUAUAUAUGUAUGUAAUUGACAUAGAAUUUAAAAAAAAGAUGUAAAUUCAUUUGAACUAGAAAUGUAUGACGUUCUACCUUACAAUGUAAACUGACUAGAUGUUUUUUUUAUUGUAUUAAUCGACCAAGAUAUCGUUGCGAUGCAGCUGAGACGAGUGUUGCUGAACUCGUGUACACGAUGUAAACGCAUUUAUACAACCUGACCUUUGACGUCACUCGACGGAGUGAUAUACUUUCAUAACUUGACCUACGUAACUAUUUAGUAUUUAUUUCUUAUAUAAAAUGUCUUUACCGCACUCUGGAGUCGCCAUUCGCCGUAAGAUGUCGCAUUUAAAUGAAUUUUUAUCAUAAAAAUUUCUCCUUUAGAUUGAACAUUAUCGCAUAGUGUAGAUGUUGCGUGCGGCGACUGCAAAGUGCUUUUGAAAUAAUUCUUGUAAGUAAUGCUUAGCCUCCUCUGCGCUUCGAACUCUUUAUACGAAUGUUUCGAUUUUUCCUUUUUACUGCCAAUAUUUUUCACUGAUUUUAAUUUGUUAAGUAUUAAAUAUCCAUUUUUUGACUAAAAUUUCACUUUUAUUAGAUUUAACGAUCACACAUUUUUAGUUCGUACGUAUUUUUAUUGUAUAGAGCGUUUGCGUGCGGUGGCCCCUCCCCGGGAGUUAGUGCUUAGUGCUUGCCCCGGUGACCUGGAUUACUAAACACCGUUAGAUAUCCCACCGCAUUGCUGUACAUCGCAUAUAUAUGCCUAUGUUUAAAUAAUUUUAUUUUAAAAAAUUUACUUUUUUUGAGGAAAAUAUAAUAAAUGAUGUUUUCAAAUA